AACCCUAGCGCGAACUCUAGCAGAAAACACAUCAAAUCUUUCUCUAGCCACAGCAUCUAUCUAUCUGCAAUGCAAUGAAGACAAUAUCAGGGAAAGUAAUAUCAACGAAGCCGGUUUCUCUUUCCGAUGCCGCCGUUAUUAUCUCCGAUUUCGCGGCCACGGAAACUGGGGCUUCCGAUGCUGUGUCUGUCUAUAUCAGACGCGCCGCUGAUGCAUUCAAUCAAUUGGUUCAGUUUCACCACGAUCUUCGCUAUCCAAACUCUGGGACCAAGUUCCUUGCAAAGGAACGCGUUGAUUAUGCGCUAAAAAGCUCGCAAAAUCGCGAGAUUUUUGUUAAACAAGAAGAAUCUGUAAAGGUUGAGCAAUUUCCAGAAGAGAAGUUACAGAAGAAGAAGCACAAGAAGCAAGGGAAUGACAAAAUCAGAGAUUUAGAUGUGAAGAAAGAAGCUUUUGUUAAAACUGAGCCAGACUCUCUUGCAACCGAAGAAAACAGGAAAAAUAAGAAGUAUGGUGCGGAGAAAGUGAAGAAAGAAGAUAAGGUCAAGAUUGAAAAGGGCGAAGAAGAUGGGAAAUACCAGGAAAGUAACUAUGAGAAGGUGAAGACUGAACCAGAGGUUGAUGUAGUUGAGGGAGAUAGUAUGAAGAAGAAGGAUAAGAAAAAUAAAAAGAGAAAAUUGAGUGAAGGCAAUGAGGGUGAAGGAGGAGAGACUUUGGUGGUUGAGACAAAGAAGAGGAAGAGUGAAGAUAUUGAUGGUUCAGCUGAGCAGAAUAGUAAGAAAAAAAAGAGUAAAAAGCAGAGAGUUGAAGCCAAAUAGUUUCAAAGUGGCCUUAUUCAUGGUGGAUUGUUGUUGUGCUGUUAUUUGUUAAUUAGGUCUGGCUGAAGCUUUUGUAAUCUUUCAAUGAAAGCAAUUUUUUGGAAUGAUUAUUGCCAGAAGGUGUUUCAUCUCUCGGUGUACAAAUACUUUUUCUCUUCUUGCGCAAUACACAUAACUAUGCUUUGAUUUCUACUUCUCUUCGUUGAGUUCAUUCAGUGGUAGUAUUCAAUGUUCUUUUGCCAGAGACUAGAUAAAUUGAUGCAUAAAUGCAUU